rnacentral:rRNA from 1 species
GUGAGGAAUAUUGCGCAAUGGAGGCAACUCUGACGCAGCCAUGCCGCGUGCAGGAAGAAGGCGCUACGCGUUGUAAACUGCUUUUAACCGGGAAGAAACCCCAGGACGUGUCCUGGGUUGACGGUACCGGAGGAAUAAGCACCGGCUAACUUCGUGCCAGCAGCCGCGGUAAUACGAAGGGUGCAAGCGUUAUCAGGAUUCAUUGGGUUUAAAGGGGGCGUAGGCGGAGCGUUAAGUCAGUGGUGAAAUCCUGCAGCUUAACUGUAGACUUGCCAUUGAUACUGGCGCUCUUGAGUGCGCAUGAAGUGGGCGGAAUGUGCCGUGUAGCGGUGAAAUGCUUAGAUAUGGCACAGAACACCAAUUGCGAAGGCAGCUCACUAAGGCGAUACUGACGCUGAGGCACGAAAGCGUGGGGAUCGAACAGGAUUAGAUACCCCUGUAGUCC